GAGCUUUGGCUAUCAGUGUUGCUGCAAUUACUGCUCCUGCUGCUGCUAGGAUCAUUGGGUUGAUUUUUCCUCUGCUGAGAUCUCCGUGGAGAAUAGCCACAAGGGACUGACACUGGGGGACCCUGAAGUUUCUUUCGAGGGGAAUAAGAAGCCUGAGGGAUAUCAGGAGUUUGAGUCAUGACCUUUAUAGUUUAGCAACAAGAGAAAGCUUUUAUUGCGUGUUGUAGCUGACAAAAACCAGUGUAAAUUGUCACAGCAUCGUGAGCUGAAUAUGGUUUCGGUUGUGAUGAAUCCUUUGGAGGAACCCUGUUAAGAUACUAAACAAAAUUAGGAAUAAGAAUAUGAAUAGAAAUCAGUAACAGAUAUGAACUUCUAAAUUAAAUCAA